UACGGGGGGGGCAAGCGUUGUUCGGAAUUACUGGGCGUAAAGGGCUCGUAGGCGGCCAACUAAGUCAUACGUGAAAUCCCUCGGCUUAACCGGGGAACUGCGUCUGAUACUGGAUGGCUUGAGUUCGGGAGAGGGAUGCGGAAUUCCAGGUGUAGCGGUGAAAUGCGUAGAUAUCUGGAGGAACACCGGUGGCGAAGGCGGCAUCCUGGACCGGCAUUGACGCUGAGGAGCGAAAGCUAGGGGAGCAAACGGG
rnacentral:rRNA from 1 species